UGGGCAACCUGCCCCUCUCUCUGGGAUAACCCCGGGAAACCGGGGCUAAUACCGGAUACUCCGGCUGGAUCGCAUGGUCCGGCCGGGAAAGGUCCGCCGGAGAGGGAUGGGCCCGCGGCCUAUCAGCUUGUUGGUGGGGUCAUGGCUCACCAAGGCGACGACGGGUAGCUGGUCUGAGAGGACGACCAGCCACACUGGAACUGAGACACGGCCCAGACUCCUACGGGAGGCA
rnacentral:rRNA from 1 species